AAAAAAAAGAAAAGAAUAGGACAAUAAAGAUAAAGAGACAGAGCGAAAGACAAAUAUGGGGGAAGGCUGUUUAUGUUGAAGGGAGGGGGGUCCUGCGGAGAGUUUGAGGCACUGCUGCCACCCCUAGAAUAACAUUAACCUUACUGUUUCCAUACAUGUUAAAGUCUAGCCUACACGCCACACAUGCCUGCCUGCCUGCCUCCCUGCCCAUGAAUUUAACGGGUCUGAAUAUUGGCAGAAAGAGUGCAAAAUGUUUCUUUAGUAAGGAGACUUUAGCCCUGCGCAAUACUGAAGUGAGCACAUUUUGUGUUUUAUAUUAUGUUUUUACUUUAUGUUAUUUUAUUUAUUUAUUUUUUAUGCUUAAUUUCUGAGUUGUUUGGUGUGUGUUUUUUUUUUAAAUGUAUUUUGUCUGUUUCGUUUUGUUGUGGUUUGUUUAUGUAUUGUUCUUCUGUACUAUGUGGCCUCAAUCAGGGCAUUGCUGCAAAAGAGCCCUGUGCUCAGUCAAUUUCUCCCUGAAUAAACAAUGAUGAUGAUGAUAUAAAUAGUCUCCUUCUUUUUUCUUUCUAAAAACUCUAGAUCCAAGUCCAAAGCAUCUAAAGUCAGAAUGCAUGGACAACUAUUUAACAUGAAGUUGACAUUGGACAUUAGCAGUUUGGUGAGUGGAGGCUAAAAUAGAUUCAUGGGGAAAGAUACUAUUCCAGCAGUGCCCAUGUGCUGCACCGAUUAAUCCAUGUAUAUUUGUGUUAUAUAUGAAUGGAAGUAUAGGUGUGAGAGUUUCAGGGACUUUCAAAAAAUAUUUCAUGACAAAUUAAGAGAAUCAUUUGGCUGAACACCUGUAAAAGCAUAUUAUUUCACUUACCCAUACUUUAGUAAAGUAUAAAACUGAGUUUUGUUUACUACAAGUUUAUCUUUUCUAAGCUGGCAGUUCAAUAAUUUCCAUGAUUCUGACAGGAAGAAAUGCUACUAUUAUCUAUCAAGCUUCAAAAAUGUUAACAUUUUUAAUGGAUUUCCAACA
ensembl:lncRNA